GUUGGGCAAGUCGCAAUGGUUUUACCGAGGAUGCAGUAAGAAAUUGCUUAAGACAACCAAACGUGCACAAUGAUUUUGGAAUUUCUAAACCGGAUGCCCAAAAGAUACUUGGUGCCGUGUGGAGUUCUAGAAUGUCGGAAGAGGAAUUUAUAUCAUUAGUAACAUCAAAACUCACUUUUGAGCAACUCGUAAAAAUUCAUGACGACGUACGUAAGGAGAUGUACUUAGUUACUAAAAAACAACAUAGUAUAUUAGGGCAUGACAUCAACAGAAUUAAAGUUAACAAGACAAGUGUUAAAGAUUACUUACGGAGGAACCAAAAGCAAUAUAGACUAAAUGAUAAGGACA